rnacentral:rRNA from 1 species
UACAUAGGUCCCAAGCGUUGUUCGGAUUCACUGGGCGUAAAGGGUGCGUAGGUGGCGAGGUAAGUCGGAUGUGAAAGCUCGGAGCUCAACUCCGAAAUGGCAUUGGAAACUACCUUGCUCGAGGGUUGGAGGGGGGACUGGAAUGCUUGGUGUAGCAGUGAAAUGCGUAGAUAUCGUGAGGAACACCAGAGGCGAAGGCGGCUACCUGGACAAUUGCUGACGCUCAGGCACGAAAGCGUGGGGAGCAAAAGGG